rnacentral:rRNA from 1 species
UACGGAGGAUGCGAGCGUUAUCCGGAUUUAUUGGGUUUAAAGGGUGCGUAGGCGGAUGAGUAAGUCAGUGGUGAAAGCCUGCAGCUUAACUGUAGAAUUGCCAUUGAUACUGCUUGUCUUGAGGAUAGUUGAGGUGGGCGGAAUAUGACAUGUAGCGGUGAAAUGCUUAGAUAUGUCAUAGAACACCGAUUGCGAAGGCAGCUCACUAAGCUAUAUCUGACGCUGAGGCACGAAAGCGUGGGUAGCAAACAGG